rnacentral:rRNA from 1 species
UACGUAGGGUGCGAGCGUUGCCCGGAUUUAUUGGGCGUAAAGGGCGCGCAGGCGGCUCGGCACGUCCGUUGUGAAAUCGCCCGGCUCAACUGGGCGGGGUCAGCGGAUACGGUCGAGCUUGAGCAAGCUAGGGGGUAAUGGAAUUCCCGGUGUAGUGGUGGAAUGCGUAGAGAUCGGGAAGAACAUCGGUGGCGAAAGCGCUCUACUGGACCGCAACUGACACUCAGGGACGAAAGCUAGGGGAGCGAAUGGG